UUCUUGAAUGUUCUCCAGUGAAAGGGCCUCCCCAGUCUACUGAGAGGAUGCUGCGCCAUCUGCCAACUGUACUGUCUUCUGUUCAACUACUGUGUAUCCUAAUAGGAAGUCUUUUCAAGGCAACAGAACGAUGGGCUCAACCCACCCAUCCAACCCACCUAACUUCACUGUGGAUGAAAGAAUAAGCAGGUUUGCAGAGCUCAGCUACCUCCAUGAGAAAUGACUCUCCUGUAGGGCUCGAUGACCUUCAUGUCAAUCCGCUGCUCCUGUUCUCCAAUCACCACGGUCCUCCACAGCCGGUUGUCCUCUCGCUCCUCUUCUGCCGUAUAUUCCGGAAUAGACUCUGACUCUUGGCCAGAAUCUUUGUUGGCUGUGUGAUCCUCUGGAAAUGAAGCAUAGAGCAGGGAUAAAGAAGAAAGACCUCCACAGGUGAGGCAGUUCAGCAACUAGCGACCUCCUGGCAGAGUCAACCUGAGCUCCCUGUUGUGUACAACUCUGAUAGAGCCUGACACCAUCCUGAUCACAUAAUGGACACUCAGUGAAGUCUUAUUGAUUGACUGACUGAACAACCCAUCCAUUGUGAAGGCCGGGCAGAGGGUGGGGAUAAGAAAAGAGCUAGAGCUGUCUUGUGUCUGUAGUGGUCCAAGGGGGCAUAGGCUGGUGCUAACUCAUCCUUGAUCAUAUAAGUUGUAGACUGCAGGUCUUUCUGAUGGGGUGAAAGGCUAUUCAUCAGGCCCUAUUUUCCUUGUGCCACAUUUCUUGGUGUAUCCUGAGUGCUCAGAGUGUUUUGGGGGCCCUCAGCUCAGUAUCUUGAUGAUACCGCCAGCCUAGACCCCCACUCUAAGACUCUUACAGUGGGGUUGAAUCCCCUUCUCUACUGGGAGUGCAUCUGGACAUUAAUUUGAUAUUACUUCUUAUAUAUUUUUCAAAAUAUACUACACAAAGGUUUUACAGUAAGUGAGAAACAACCUCGUAGACCAGAAGUGCUCCAAGGCCAAAAAUUCACAAGACUCUUACUUGUGGGUGCCCAAGGCAAUGAAAAAGCCCACGGAGCAUUCUUGGGGGAGAAAUUUACUACCCAUUCUUGUGCAUCAAGAAAAAAGCAACCGGGCUUCCCUGGUGGCGCAGUGGUUGAGAGUCCGCCUGCCGAUGCAGGGGACGCGGGUUCGUGCCCCGGUCUGGGAAGAUCCCACAUGCCGUGGAGCAGCUGGGCCCAUGAGCCAUGGCCGCUAAGCCUGUGCGUCUGAAGCCUGUGCUCCACAACGGG